AACGUAGGUGGCGAGCGUUAUCCGGAUUUACUGGGCGUAAAGGGUGUGCAGGCUGCCCCUCAAGUGGUGUAUGGAAAGGGCUCGGCUCAACCGGGCUAGGUUAUGCCAGACUGAGGGGCUAGAGAGCGAGAGCGGGACGUGGAAUUCCGGGUGUAGUGGUGAAAUGCGUAGAGAUCCGGAGGAACACCAGUGGCGAAGGCGACACGCUGGGCCGUACCUGACACUGAUGCGCGACAGCAUGGGGAGCAAACGAGGGAUUA
rnacentral:rRNA from 1 species